GAGCUGAAAGCAUCUAAGCUCGAAGCCUGCCUUGAAAAAUAGACAUCUAGAACUCUCAUAAAAUAUGAGUUUGAUGGAACAGAUGUGUAAGUGCG
rnacentral:rRNA from 1 species